CCUACGGGUGGCAGCAGUCGAGAAUCAUUCACAAUGGGGGAAACCCUGAUGGUGCGACGCCGCGUGGGGGAAUGAAGGUCUUCGGAUUGUAAACCCCUGUCAUGUGGGAGCAAAUUAAAAAGAUAGUACCACAAGAGGAAGAGACGGCUAACUCUGUGCCAGCAGCCGCGGUAAUACAGAGGUCUCAAGCGUUGUUCGGAAUCACUGGGCGUAAAGCGUGCGUAGGCUGUUUCGUAAGUCGUGUGUGAAAGGCGCGGGCUCAACCCGCGAACGGCACAGGAUACUGCGAGACUAGAGUGAUGGAGGGGGAACCGGAAUUCUCGGUGUAGCAGUGAAAUGCGUAGAUAUCGGGAGGAACACUCGUGGCGAAGGCGGGUUCCUGGACAUUAACUGACGCUGAGGCACGAAGGCCAGGGGAGCGAAAGGGAUUAGAUACCCUAGUAGUC
rnacentral:rRNA from 1 species